UGGUGGAGCGAUUUGUCUGGUUAAUUCCGAUAACGAACGAGACUCUGGCCUACUAACUAGACGAAGGAUCCCUUGUGGGUCCUUUGCAGCUUCUUAGAGGGACGGGCGGCGUUUAGCCGCACGAGAAUGAGCAAUAACA
rnacentral:rRNA from 1 species